GAUAAUUUACACACAAUUAAUUAACAUCUUAAACAGUUAAACACCAAAUGCACAUAAACAAAAAGACACGACAAAGAAGAUACAAAUUAAAAAAAAAAAAGGUCCAUCAGUGAACUCUCUUAAGCCCUGGACUUGAAGGGAAUGGCCCUGAUGACUAUCUGGUGGUACACAGCAGCCAGUGCAGCUCCAAUGAAUGGUCCAACCCAGAAGAUCCACUGCAAUAUUAUAUUCAAAGGGAAAAACAGUGCUAAGAAUUUGAUCCGCUAGACAGUAAAAACUACAUACAAUUAGGAGCAUGUCAAUUGGGAUUGAAGAAAAUCAUACAUGGUCAUCCCAGGCAUGGUCUUUGUUGAAGAUGAUGGCAGCUCCAAGACUCCUAGCUGGGUUGAUGCCAGUUCCUGUGAUGGGGAUGGUGGCCAGGUGGACCAAGAAAACAGCAAAUCCAAUGGGGAGGGGGGCCAAAAUCUGCAGUGAAGUUAUACAAAGUGCAGCAGAUGAGAAGCAAAAUCAUCAACCGCACUCACAAGAAAAGCACUUUUAAAAAAGCACUACAUGUCACACAAACGACCAAAAUAAUCACGUGCAAGCAUCAUCAUCAAAGAUAAGAUCUUAUCACCCCAGUCCAACCCAAAAGCCCAUCUAAAUUUACUUUUUCACACAACUGCACCACCAGCCAAACUGACCAAUCAACCAUUUACCAAAAAACAGAACCAAAGCAUUGGAUUCCAGAUGAUAGAUUCAAGUAAUGCUGAAAAGAAUUUUCGAAAGUAAGCCUAAUGCAGAAUUCCACUCACUAAAGAAGAAUUAUCUAUAAUCUAUAUCCAAGAAAAAUUGAAAAAAAGAAAACAAACAACACAAUAUUCCUAAAGUAACUAAUAAUUCAACAAAUUGAACACUGAGGGUCUAACAAUAUUUGUACCGAAGAAAGGAAGAUAAAGAAUGACAUGGGGAAAGAAUGCUUACAGGGACAUGAGAGUCUCUGGCGUUUCUCUUCGCAUCAGUGGCAGAGAAGACAGUGUAAACAAGAACAAAGGUUCCAAUAAUCUCAGCACCAAGACCAUCACCCUUGGUGUAGCCGUGAGCAACAACAUUGGCUCCACCACCCAACCUCUCGUAGUUCUUUGAACCUUCGAAUCCCUUGACAACACCAGCACCACAGACAGCACCAAGGCACUGCAUGACCAUGUAGAAGACAGCCCUUGUCAGGGAAAGCUUCCUCGCUAGCAGCAGACCGAAGGUCACUGCUGGGUUGAUGUGUCCUCCUGUUGUUUAAACAGCAAAGAACAAACAGAUCUGAUCAUCAUCACCACCAUAAGAAACGAACACAAUAAAGAACCAAAAAAAAUAAUUAAAAAGUAAAAAUUAAAACUUUUUUCACGUAGAGACGUUGAAAAGUAUAAAAUUUAACUAGGAAAGUCACAAAACUUAGUCCAUAAAAGAAGCAUACAAAGAAAUCACUAGCCAGAUCUAACGAUUAGUAGACAAACCAAUGGGCAAAGGCUUUUACUUGUGCAGAAGCACAGAAACAUCAGGAAAAGAUAAAAUAAAAAAUGAUUAAAACAAUAUUAAAACUGCAUAAUGUUUGCAUUAAUACUCAUUAAAGAUUUGAUUUUUUUCCCCCUCUCUCAAAAAUGUAGAAAAAAGUGAACUUACAAAGCUAGAACUGACCUGAGAUACCAGCAGUGCAGUAAACAAGCGCAAAGAUCAUGCCACCAAAGGCCCAAGCAAUUCCUUGGAUACCGACAGUGGAGCACUUGGUGUUAGACUUAGAGACACCCAUGACAGUCAAGACAGUGAUGUAGAGGAACAAGAAGGUAGCCAUGAACUCUGCAAUACCAGCUCUGUAAAAAGACCAUGACUUGAGCUCACCAGGCUCAAACAAAGGUGCUGGUGGUGGCUCCUUGUAGUCUUUGUCUGAUUGAGCUGAUGUCCCAAUGGGUUGCCUCUCUGAGAACUUGUUAGCUCCUAGCUUAACAUCCUCUUCUUUGCCCUCCAUUGACGAUGAUGAACCUC
rnacentral:lncRNA from 1 species